rnacentral:rRNA from 1 species
AGAGGUGGCAAGCGUUGUUCGGAAUUACUGGGCGUAAAGGGCGCGCAGGCGGUUCGCCAAGUCCCGUGUGAAAUCCCCCCGGCUCAACUGGGGAACUGCGCGGGAAACUAGCGGGCUUGAGUUCGGGAGAGGAAAGCGGAAUUCCGGGUGUAGCGGUGAAAUGCGCAGAUAUCCGGAGGAACACCAGUGGCGAAGGCGGCUUUUCUGGACCGACACUGACGCUGAGGCGCGAAAGCUAGGGGAGCGAACGGGAUUAGAUACCCCGGGUAGUCCUAGCCCUAAACGUUGAGCACUGGGUUGUAGGGGGUUAUGAACCCCCCCCCCCGUGUGCCCGAAGCUAACCGCAUUAAGUGCUCCGCCUGGGGAGUACGGUCGCAAGGCUG